rnacentral:rRNA from 1 species
GCGGACGGGUGAGUAAUACUUAGGAAUCUGCCUAUUARUGGGGGACAACAUCUCGAAAGGRAUGCUAAUACCGCAUACGYCCUACGGGRGAAAGCAGGGGAUCACUUGUGACCUUGCGYUAAUAGAUGAGCCUAAGUCGGAUUAGCUAGUUGGUGGGGUAAAGGCCUACCAAGGCGACGAUCUGUAGCGGGUCUGAGAGGAUGAUCCGCCACACUGGGACUGAGACACGGCCCAGACUCCUACGGGAGGCAGCAGUGGGGAAUAUUGGACAAUGGGGGGAACCCUGAUCCAGCCAUGCCGCGUGUGUGAAGAAGGCCUUWUGGUUGUAAAGCACUUUAAGCGAGGAGGAGGCUMYYUURGUUAAUACCYARRRAKAGUGGACGUUACUCGCAGAAUAAGCACCGGCUAACUCUGUGCCAGCAGCCGCGGUAAUACAGAGGGUGCGAGCGUUAAUCGGAUUUACUGGGCGUAAAGCGUGCGUAGGYGGCYWWUUAAGUCRRAUGUGAAAUCCCCGAGCUUAACUUGGGAAUUGCAUUCGAUACUGGKWRGCUAGAGUAUGGGAGAGGAUGGUAGAAUUCCAGGUGUAGCGGUGAAAUGCGUAGAGAUCUGGAGGAAUACCGAUGGCGAAGGCAGCCAUCUGGCCUAAUACUGACRCUGAGGUACGAAAGCAUGGGGAGCAAACAGGAUUAGAUACCCUGGUAGUCCAUGCCGUAAAC